rnacentral:ncRNA from 2 species
AGAAUAAGUAAGAAUUAAAGUUUUGGGAACCAAGCAUGUGAUAUAGUUCAUAUGCUCAAAGUUGGGAAACUCUGGUGAAAUUCCGGGACUGUGCCGCAGCUGUAAAAAAGUAUUGAGUUAAAAGUCCUGUGUACUGAGUAUAAAUAAACUCAGCACUCAGCACUCAGCACUCAUCACUUAAGAGUCAGAAUGCCAACUUGAGCAGUGUUAAACAA